GACGAACGCUGGCGGCGUGCUUAACACAUGCAAGUCGAACGGAAAGGCCCUGCUUUUGUGGGGUGCUCGAGUGGCGAACGGGUGAGUAACACGUGAGUAACCUGCCCUUGACUUUGGGAUAACUUCAGGAAACUGGGGCUCAUAUCGGAUAGGAGCUCCUGCUGCACGGUGGGGGUUGGAAAGUUUCGGCGGUUGGGGAUGGACUCGCGGCUUAUCCGCUUGUUGGUGGGGUAGUGGCUUACCAAGGCUUUGACGGGUAGCCGGCCUGAGAGGGUGACCGGCCACAUUGGGACUGAGAUACGGCCCAGACUCCUACGGGAGGCAGCAGUGGGGAAUAUUGCACAAUGGGCGGAAGCCUGAUGCAGCAACGCCGCGUGCGGGAUGACGGCCUUCGGGUUGUAAACCGCUUUCGCCUGUGACGAAGCGUGAGUGACGGUAAUGGGUAAAGAAGCACCGGCUAACUACGUG
rnacentral:rRNA from 1 species